CGUUUGUAUAGCCUUAGUCUACCACUUGAUCCACAUUCCGCAGUCACAACUUCUUUAGAGCACGCGACACGGUGGUCCCGGUAGUAAACAGACGUGAUUAAUACCUCUUCAACCGGUGGCUUCCGCGCGACCUACUCCCGGUUCCGUUACUUAGUAGUCUACGCCACACAGUGGGGUUAUUGAGUAAAAGGAUAUGCGUGGUUACAGGGUGUAAAAAUAGUCCUCAGCUCUUACAUCAGUGGGCUAUGUGUAUUAUUGGGUACUCGUCCUGUCCACGUAACAACAACCUACUGGGUGUUCUUCACCCACACGGUGCACUGUACAGGGCAGUAGCCUAGGCGAUAACCGUAGCAUUUUACUAUACUUCUCAAUGUAGGAAUCAUGAACAGCCUACAUAAGUUUGGAUAAUAAAUCCAGAUAGCAUCAGUAGAGUUCAGCCGCAUAAUGACCGAUUGUUGACCUUGGCGCGGCGCGGUGACAUGGAAGGGACAUAUACGCACAUCGCUGCAUGGGCUGGAACUGCUGCUGGUUCAGCGUUGAGAGACACGGACACCGCCGGGGAAAUCGCCGGCUUCGGAUAAUUAUGCUGCUGCUGCAACUACAACCGAAGGCACCGGUCAACCGAAGGCUGUCAUCAGUUUGUGUUUGUUUGUCUCUGCACGUUGAGAAAUGUGGAAUGCUGCGUUCGGAAAUGGGUCGGAUUUGCGUAGUGGAGGAGGCGGCGGCGGGUACGUGCCAGCGCAGGACUGGGAAUUCGUUUCCUGCUCGCGUCUGGAAAGAGAAAGAGAGAGGGGCAGAGGGAAGAGUCGCAGUCCGUUCAGGACGUUCUCCUCCCCGCCAACAGUCACUCAGUUCUACGAACAGUCUCAUCCUGGAACGGUUGGAACAUCACUGGAGCUUCCUCGGGGACAAGUUCGGGCGCAAGAGCCAGGGACUCAUCACUCCCGCCUGAAAAAGAAGUUUGAACACUUCAAGAAACGCCACGGACAGGACAAGGAAGAAUGGAUACGAGAGAAGGAGAUACUUUUAAGACAAGUUGCUGAGAUACAAGGUGGGGAGAACAGAAGGAUUUUGUUGGAUCUGAAGACUGUAGUGGAGGAGGUACAGCUAGAGGUGAAGAGAGAGGAGUCGAAGAGGAGCGAGCUACAGCUGCAGUACACUAAGGACAGAUGUGCCUGGGAACUGGAGAGAGCUGAGCUGAAAUGCAGAAUCGCACAGUUGGAGGCUAGAGGAGGUCCUGUCGUUGAGCUGGGGCUGAGAACUCAGAGUCCAGAGCCCAGGGAGAGUCCUCUACAGCGGGGGACAGAGAGCAGCAGAGGAGGCUGCUGGUCGACACCCACACGGCCGCCAUGGACCUGCGCUGUCGGCUGGAGCUCAGCGAGAAGGGCUGGGUCCGAUCUGAACUGAUGGAGAGAUUCAACUCUGAGAGGAAGGAGGGGAGAGCCAGCUGGGAGACAUGCAGAGGAAAAUAGAGGAGAUGUACAAGGAGGUGAAGGUGAGGCAUGAGGUAUCUGGGGAGAUGAGAGAACCUGUAGGAGAGAUUACAGAGGAGGUCACCCUGAAUGUCAGUGUACAUACCACCAGCACAGGAUCCAGCAUGCUUAGCGACAACUCGACUUCCGACCCCCAGAACAGCAGCAGCAGCCAAUCAGAGCCCACCAACCAACGCGGCUCCUACCCCCGUCGUCACCGCAACGACGACUUCGCCGCCCACAGAAACCGGGCGGAUCACCGUGGCGACAGAGGAAACCCCCGUAACUAUGACGACUGUGUCGGUAACCAGGAAGUGGACAUGGCGGAACUGGAGGCCAUCCUGCGAGGGGUUGACAGAGACUCUCCCUCUAAAGGGGGUAUGGUUAAUGUCCGUCGCUCCUCCCACGGUGGAUCUAGUGUAGGAGUGACCCACAACACAGAGAUGAGCUCCGGGACAUGGAGUGACAAGAUGGAGAAUACUACAGCCCUCAAUGUCGCCCUGAAGGAGAUAGCCCGUGUGAGUGAAGAGCUGUGUAGCUACCAGGAUGAGAUCAGCAGGAAGUCCGGAGGGGACAAGAGGGGUCGAACCGAGUCCUCGUAUUUCCCGAGGUGGAUCAUGUUACGACCAGAGAGAGAAUGGAGGACCCUGCCUUCAACCUGACGC
ensembl:lncRNA